rnacentral:rRNA from 1 species
GACGAACGCUGGCGGCGUGCUUAACACAUGCAAGUCGAACGGAGUGGCGAACGGGUGAGUAACACGUGGGUGACCUGCCCUGCACUUCGGGAUAAGCCCGGGAAACUGGGUCUAAUACCGGAUAGUGUGGGAUGGGGCCGCGGCCUAUCAGCUUGUUGGUGGGGUAACGGCCUACCAAGGCGGCGACGUGUAGCCGGCCUUAGAGGGUGGACGGGCACAUUGGGACUGGGGAACGGCCCAGACUGCUACGGGAGGCAGCAGUGGGGAAUAUGGCACAAUGGGCGGAAGCCUGAUGCAGCGACGCAGCGUGGGGGAUGACGGCUUUCGAGUUGUAAACUCCUUUCACCAUCGACGCGGUAGAUGGAGAAGAAGCACCGGCUAACUACGUGCCAGCAGCCGCGGUAAUAC